rnacentral:rRNA from 1 species
GAUGAACGCUGGCGGCGUGCCUAAUACAUGCAAGUCGAGCGAACGGACGCGAAGCUUGCUUUUUUGAUGUUAGCGGCGGACGGGUGUGAAACACGUGUAUAACCUACCUAUAAGACUGGUAUAACUUCGGGAAACCGGAGCUAAUACCGGAGAAUAUUUUGAACCGCAGGGUUCAAAAGUGAAAGACGGUCUUGCUGGCACUUAUAGAUGGAUCCGCGCUGCAUUAGCUAGUUGGUAAGGUAACGGCUUAGCACGGCAACGAUGCAUAGCCGACCUGUGAGGGUGGUCGGCCACCCUGGAGCUGAGACACGGUCCAGACUCCUACGGGAGGCAGCAGUAGGCAAUCUUCCGCAGUGGGCGAGAGCCUGACGGAGCGACGCCGCGUCAGUGAUGAAGAUCUUCGGAUCGUAAAACUCUGUUAUGGGGGAAAAACACAUUUGUAAGUAACUGUGCACAUCUUGACGGUACCUAGUCAGAAAGCCCCGGCUAACUACGUG